rnacentral:rRNA from 2 species
UGGGGAAUAUUGCACAAUGGGGGAAACCCUGAUGCAGCGACGCCGCGUGAGCGAUGAAGUAUUUCGGUAUGUAAAGCUCUAUCAGCAGGGAAGAAAAUGACGGUACCUGACUAAGAAGCACCGGCUAAAUACGUGCCAGCAGCCGCGGUAAUACGUAUGGUGCAAGCGUUAUCCGGAUUUACUGGGUGUAAAGGGAGCGUAGACGGAGUGGCAAGUCUGAUGUGAAAACCCGGGGCUCAACCCCGGGACUGCAUUGGAAACUGUCAAUCUAGAGUACCGGAGAGGUAAGCGGAAUUCCUAGUGUAGCGGUGAAAUGCGUAGAUAUUAGGAGGAACACCAGUGGCGAAGGCGGCUUACUGGACGGUAACUGACGUUGAGGCUCGAAAGCGUGGGGAGCAAACA